rnacentral:rRNA from 1 species
CCUACGGGAGGCUGCAGUGGGGGAUAUUGCACAAUGGGGGGAACCCUGAUGCAGCGACGCCGCGUGAGCGAUGGAGUACUUCGGUAUGUAAAGCUCUGUCAGCAGGGAAGAAAAUGACGGUACCUGACCAAGAAGCCCCGGCUAAAUACGUGCCAGCAGCCGCGGUAAUACGUAUGGGGCAAGCGUUAUCCGGAUUUACUGGGUGUAAAGGGAGCGUAGGCGGCAGGGCAAGCCUGAUGUGAAAGCCCGGGGCUCAACCCCGGGACUGCAUUGGAAACUGUUGAACUGGAGUACAGGAGAGGUAAGCGGAAUUCCUAGUGUAGCGGUGAAAUGCGUAGAUAUUAGGAGGAACACCAGUGGCGAAGGCGGCUUACUGGACUGUAACUGACGUUGAGGCUCGAAAGCGUGGGGAGCAAACAGGAUUAGAUACCCGAGUAGUC